rnacentral:rRNA from 1 species
GAUGAACGCUGGCGGCGUGCCUAAUACAUGCAAGUCGAGCGAACAGACGAGGAGCUUGCUCCUCUGACGUUAGCGGCGGACGGGUGAGUAACACGUGGAUAACCUACCUAUAAGACUGGGAUAACUUCGGGAAACCGGAGCUAAUACCGGAUAAUAUAUUGAACCGCAUGGUUCAAUAGUGAAAGACGGUUUUGCUGUCACUUAUAGAUGGAUCCGCGCCGCAUUAGCUAGUUGGUAAGGUAACGGCUUACCAAGGCAACGAUGAGUAGCCGACCUGAGAGGGUGAGCGGCAACACUGGAACUGAGACACGGUCAAGACUCCUACGGGAGGCAGCAGUAGGGAAUCUUCCGAAAUGGGCGAAAGCCUGACGGAGCAACGCCGCGUGAGUGAGGAAGGUCUUCGGAUCGUAAAACUCUGUUAUUAGGGAAGAACAAAUGUGUAAGUAAAUAUGCACGUCUUGACGGUACCUAAUCAGAAAGCCACGGCUAACUACGUG